UUAAUACUUGUUUCACAGAAUGCAGCCUUAGACAGAGACAGCCUAAGAUUAAUUCCCUUUGUUUUGUUUGUUUUUCAGUAUUUUGUGUACGAGUGAAAGUCUUCUUGGAUAAUUAAGACUGUGUCUAAAAUCACAGUUACAGUAUGCUGAUCUAUAAGGAAACUCAGGUCUAAGGGACAGGCCCAUCCCAGAGGAGGCCCCAUCCUCGUUCAUGGCACACGUCUUUGUCCCCUGCUCUGAGCUGCCUUCAGAGGACACCAACUGCUCUCCACUGUCUGCCCAGGGAGUUGAAAAGGAGAAGCCUCUCAAGCCAGGUCAGGAGUGACGUUUUGUGGCACGUGAUUACUGAACAUCCAUCUGUGUAUUUCUGUGAGGAAACUUCACUGGGACAAUAUAAACAUCUGCUUAAAGCUCAAGUAUUGUAUCAAACAAGGACAACAGCAGCACACCUUGGAAGAGGCAGUCAGAGAGCCAGUCCCUCACUGCUGCUGCUGCAGAUGGAGUCACAGCAAUGCAGAUGCUACAAGAGGCUCAGCAACUGCACAGGGAUUUACAAAGCCACGAGUGAAGAUGAGGAUAAACUGCUCGCACGGCACAGGACGGGUUUGCGAGUGGAAAAAAAGGACCUGCAGCAGGGACCAGCAGUGGUGGAAGUGCUCAGUUUGAAGACCACAAGCCAGGCUGCAAAAUGAAUUUCUCAGUUAUAUCUGUCAGUCUUAGCCUUAGGAACAUCCUGAGUAAGGAAUUCCAUGACUUUUUCUAUUUGCUUAUUUUU